AACGAACGCUGGCGGCAUGCCUAACACAUGCAAGUCGAACGAGACCUUCGGGUCUAGUGGCGCACGGGUGCGUAACGCGUGGGAACCUGCCCUUAGGUUCGGAAUAACUCCCCGAAAGGGGUGCUAAUACCGGAUAAUGUCUUCGGACCAAAGAUUUAUCGCCUUUGGAUGGGCCCGCGUUGGAUUAGCUAGUUGGUAGGGUAAAAGCCUACCAAGGCGACGAUCCAUAGCUGGUCUGAGAGGAUGAUCAGCCACACUGGGACAGAGACACGGCCCAGACUCCUACGGGAGGCAGCAGUGGGGAAGAUUGGACAAUGGGCGAAAGCCUGAUCCAGCAAUGCCGCGUGAGUGAUGAAGGCCUUAGGGUUGUAAAGCUCUUUUACCCGGGAUGAUAAUGACAGGACCGGGAGAAUAAGCUCCGGCGAACUCCGC
rnacentral:rRNA from 1 species